rnacentral:rRNA from 1 species
AAAUUGAAGAGUUUGAUCAUGGCUCAGAUUGAACGCUGGCGGCAGGCCUAACACAUGCAAGUCGAGCGGUAGCACAGAGAGCUUGCUCUCGGGUGACGAGCGGCGGACGGGUGAGUAAUGUCUGGGAAACUGCCUGAUGGAGGGGGAUAACUACUGGAAACGGUAGCUAAUACCGCAUAACGUCGCAAGACCAAAGUGGGGGACCUUCGGGCCUCAUGCCAUCAGAUGUGCCCAGAUGGGAUUAGCUAGUAGGUGGGGUAACGGCUCACCUAGGCGACGAUCCCUAGCUGGUCUGAGAGGAUGACCAGCCACACUGGAACUGAGACACGGUCCAGACUCCUACGGGAGGCAGCAGUGGGGAAUAUUGCACAAUGGGCGCAAGCCUGAUGCAGCCAUGCCGCGUGUGUGAAGAAGGCCUUCGGGUUGUAAAGCACUUUCAGCGGGGAGGAAGGCGUUAAGGUUAAUAACCUUGGCGAUUGACGUUACCCGCAGAAGAAGCACCGGCUAACUCCGUGCCAGCAGCCGCGGUAAUACGGAGGGUGCAAGCGUUAAUCGGAAUUACUGGGCGUAAAGCGCACGCAGGCGGUCUGUCAAGUCGGAUGUGAAAUCCCCGGGCUCAACCUGGGAACUGCAUUCGAAACUGGCAGGCUAGAGUCUUGUAGAGGGGGUAGAAUUCCAGGUGUAGCGGUGAAAUGCGUAGAGAUCUGGAGGAAUACCGGUGGCGAAGGCGGCCCCCUGGACAAAGACUGACGCUCAGGUGCGAAAGCGUGGGGAGCAAACAGGAUUAGAUACCCUGGUAGUCCACGCCGUAAACGAUGUCGAUUUGGAGGUUGUGCCCUUGAGGCGUGGCUUCCGGAGCUAACGCGUUAAAUCGACCGCCUGGGGAGUACGGCCGCAAGGUUAAAACUCAAAUGAAUUGACGGGGGCCCGCACAAGCGGUGGAGCAUGUGGUUUAAUUCGAUGCAACGCGAAGAACCUUACCUGGUCUUGACAUCCACAGAACUUUCCAGAGAUGGAUUGGUGCCUUCGGGAACUGUGAGACAGGUGCUGCAUGGCUGUCGUCAGCUCGUGUUGUGAAAUGUUGGGUUAAGUCCCGCAACGAGCGCAACCCUUAUCCUUUGUUGCCAGCGGUUCGGCCGGGNACUCAAAGGAGACUGCCAGUGAUAAACUGGAGGAAGGUGGGGAUGACGUCAAGUCAUCAUGGCCCUUACGACCAGGGCUACACACGUGCUACAAUGGCAUAUACAAAGAGAAGCGACCUCGCGAGAGCAAGCGGACCUCAUAAAGUAUGUCGUAGUCCGGAUUGGAGUCUGCAACUCGACUCCAUGAAGUCGGAAUCGCUAGUAAUCGUAGAUCAGAAUGCUACGGUGAAUACGUUCCCGGGCCUUGUACACACCGCCCGUCACACCAUGGGAGUGGGUUGCAAAAGAAGUAGGUAGCUUAACCUUCGGGAGGGCGCUUACCACUUUGUGAUUCAUGACUGGGGUGAAGUCGUAACAAGGUAACCGUAGGGGAACCUGCGGUUGGAUCACCUCCUUACCUUAAAGAA